rnacentral:rRNA from 1 species
AUUGAACGCUGGCGGCAUGCCUUACACAUGCAAGUCGAACGGUAACAGGUCUUCGGAUGCUGACGAGUGGCGAACGGGUGAGUAAUACAUCGGAACGUGCCCGAUCGUGGGGGAUAACGAAGCGAAAGCUUUGCUAAUACCGCAUACGAUCUACGGAUGAAAGCAGGGGACCGCAAGGCCUUGCGCGAACGGAGCGGCCGAUGGCAGAUUAGGUAGUUGGUGGGAUAAAAGCUUACCAAGCCGACGACCUGUAGCUGGUCUGAGAGGACGACCAGCAACACGGGGACUGAGACACGGCCCAGAGUCCUACGGGAGGCAGCAGUGGGGAAUUUUGGACAAUGGGCGAAAGCCUGAUCCAGCCAUGCCGCGUGCAGGAUGAAGGCCUUCGGGUUGUAAACUGCUUUUGUACGGAACGAAAAGACUCUGGUUAAUACCUGGGGUCCAUGACGGUACCGUAAGAAUAAGCACCGGCUAACUACGUGCCAGCCGCCGCCGUAACAC